rnacentral:misc_RNA from 1 species
AACGGUCUAUACCUGCGGUACCUGCGGAAGGAUCAUUAUAGAGUGGUAAACCCUCCGUAAAAGGGGGGAACCUCCUGUCCUUUGUAGGCUCUUUUUUAAAGGGCUUUUUUAAUUUUCUGCUUCGGUGGGGUUAUCCCACCGGAACAACCUCAAAACUCUGAUCAAAAAAUUGUUCUGUCUGAGAACCUUUUAUAAUAAAAAAAACUUUCAACAACGGAUCUCUAGAUCGGAAGAGCACAC